GUCCCCGUAGUUCAAUGGAUAGAAUAGCUCUCUCCUAAGGAGUUGAUCUGCGUUCGAGUCGCGGCGGGGACACCA
rnacentral:tRNA from 1 species